UACGGAAGGCAGCAGUGGGGAAUAUUGCACAAUGGGCGAAAGCCUGAUGCAGCUAUGCCGCGUGUAUGAAGAAGGCCUUAGGGUUGUAAAGUACUUUCAUCGGGGAGGAAAAAACAAAACUAAUAAUUUUAUUUCUUGACGUUACCCGAAAAAGAAGCACCGGCUAACUCCGUGCCAGCAGCCGCGGUAAUACGGAGGGUGCUAGCGUUAAUCAGAAUUACUGGGCGUAAAGAGCACGUAGGUGGUUUUUUUAAAGUCAGAUGUGAAAUCCCUGGGCUUAACCUGGAACUGCAUUUUGAAACUGAAAUACUAGAGUAUCGUAGAGGGAGGUAGAAUUCUAGGUGUAGCGGUGAAAUGCGUAGAUAUCUGGAGGAUACCUGUGGCGAAAGCGGCCGUCCUAAACGAAUACUGACACUGAGUGCGAAAGCGUGGGGAGCAAACAGGGAUUAGAUA
rnacentral:rRNA from 1 species